AAUCUUGCGCAAUGGGCGAAAGCCUGACUCAGCCAUGCCGCGUGAAUUAUGACGGCCUUAGGACUGUAAAAUUCUUUCACCGCGGCCGAUAAUGACGGUACCCGGAGAACAAGCCCCGGCUAACUUCUUGCCAGCAGCCGCCGUAAUACGAAGGGGGCUAGCUUUGCUCGGAAUGACUGGGCGUAAAGGACGGGUAGGCGGACAUUUAAGUCAGGGGUGAAAUCCCAGAGCUCAACUCUGGAACUGCCUUUGAUACUGGGUGUCUUGAGUGUGAGAGAGGUAUGUGGAACUCCGAGUGUAGAGGUGAAAUUCGUAGAUAUUCGAAAGAACACCAGUGGCGAAGGCGACAUACUGGCUCAUUACUGACGCUGAGGCGCGAAAGCGUGGGGAGCAAACA
rnacentral:rRNA from 1 species